UAUAUUUUCAUUUUUGGGUACUAAAACAGAUGAUCCGAUUAAUUACCAUGACAAUUGGUGGCCGUGCUUAUCUCAACUUCAUGGGCAACGAAUUUGGGCAUCCAGAGAGGGUUGAGUUCCCAAUGCCAAGCAACAAUUUCUCAUUUUCACUUGCCAACCGAAGGUGGAUCUUCUUGCCAACGAGAGAUUGCAUCGCAACUUGUUUACCUUCGAUAAGGUCGGACUUGUGAAUAAAGAGAGAAGCAAAACGAGACGAGUUUAAGUGGAGCUGCCAGCAAAGAUGUAAUAUGAAACCAUUGUACAAGAAGAUGAUUAUGACAUUAUGUCAGCUUGUUCAAUUUAAUGUAGUAUGGCUGAAUGGAAGAAAGUUAUUAUAUGUAGAUUUGAGGCUUCCUUAGUUUUGAGGCAUGGCAGGAACAACUGCCUGUAAUGUUUUUAUGUAUGGAUUUG